rnacentral:rRNA from 1 species
GAAUCUUGCGCAAUGGGGGAAACCCUGACGCAGCGACGCCGCGUGCGGGAUGAAGGCCUUCGGGUCGUAAACCGCUUUCAGCAGGGACGAAAUUGACGGUACCUGCAGAAGAAGCCCCGGCCAACUACGUGCCAGCAGCCGCGGUAAUACGUAGGGGGCAAGCGGUGUCCGGAUUUAUUGGGCGUAAAGAGCUCGUAGGCGGUUUGGUAAGUCGGGUGUGAAAUCUCCACGCUCAACGUGGAGGGGCCACUCGAUACUGCCAUGACUCGAGUCCGGUAGGGGAGUGUGGAAUUCCCGGUGUAGCGGUGAAAUGCGCAGAUAUCGGGAGGAACACCAGUAGCGAAGGCGGCACUCUGGGCCGGUACUGACGCUGAGGAGCGAAAGCGUGGGGAGCGAACAGG